AAGCGCAUGAGCCGGUGCCCAGCAUCCCGCCGACGUCGCUGCCAUCCCAUGGUGUCGCAGCGGCCGAGGGCGGGUGUUGGGCUGAGAUUAUACGGCCUCGAACUUGAUCUGGGUAAUACCAGCGAAAGGAUCAUGCAACCUAACACA
rnacentral:ncRNA from 1 species